rnacentral:rRNA from 1 species
AGAGUUUGAGUCCUGGCUCAGGACGAACGCUGGCGGCGUGCCUAACACAUGCAAGUCGAGCGGGGACAUGCGACGGAAGAGAAGUUUUCGGAUGGAUCUGAAGAUGUAUGUUCUAGCGGCGGACGGGUGAGUAACGCGUGAGCAACCUGUCCUUCACAGGGGGAUAACACAGCGAAAGUUGUACUAAUACCGCAUAAGACCACGUUGGGACAUCCCAAAGGGGUCAAAGGAGCAAUCCGGUGAAGGGUGGGCUCGCGUCCGAUUAGAUAGUUGGUGAGGUAACGGCCCACCAAGUCGACGAUCGGUAGCCGACCUGAGAGGGUGAUCGGCCACAUUGGGACUGAGACACGGCCCAAACUCCUACGGGAGGCAGCAGUGGGGAAUAUUGGGCAAUGGGGAAACCCUGACCCAGCAACGCCGCGUGAGGGAAGAAGGUUUUCGGAUCGUAAACCUCUGUCCCAGGUGAAGAGUAAGAGACGGUAACCUGGGAGGAAGCCCGGCUAACUACGUGCC